UGCAUGUCUAAGUACAUGCCGUAUUAAGGCGAAACCGCGAAUGGCUCAUUAAAUCAGUUAUGGUUCCUUGGAUCGUACCUUACUACUUGGAUAACUGUGGCAAUUCUAGAGCUAAUACAUGCAGCAGAGCUCCGACCUUCGGGGACGAGCGCUUUUAUUAGACCAAAACCAAUCUGACCUCGUGUCAGUCUCUUGUGGUGACUCUGUAUAACUUUGGGCUGAUCGCACGGGCCCGUCCCGGCGACGUAUCUUUCAAGUGUCUGCCUUAUCAACUUUCGAUGGUAGGUUACGCGCCUACCAUGGUCGUAACGGGUAACGGGGAAUCAGGGUUCGAUUCCGGAGAGGGAGCCUGAGAAACGGCUACCACAUCCAAGGAAGGCAGCAGGCGCGCAAAUUACCCACUCCCGGAACGGGGAGGUAGUGACGAAAAAUAACAAUACGGGACUCUUUUGAGACCCCGUAAUUGGAAUGAGUACACUCUAAAUCCUUUAACGAGGAUCCAUUGGAGGGCAAGUCUGGUGUCAGCAGCCGCGGUAAUUCCAGCUCCAAUAGCGUAUAUUAAAGUUGUUGCGGUUAAAAAGCUCGUAGUUGGAUCUCAGUUCCAGACGGGUGGUCCGCCUACCGGUGGUUACUGCCUGUUCUGAACAGCCAGCCGGUUUCUCUUGAUGAUCUUCACCGGUUGUCUUGGGUGACCGGCAAGUUUACUUUGAAAAAAUUAGAGUGCUCAAAGCAGGCGCGACGCCUGAAUAAUGGUGCAUGGAAUAAUGGAAUAGGACCUCGGUUCUAUUUUGUUGGUUUUCGGAACACGAGGUAAUGAUUAAGAGGGACAGACGGGGGCAUUCGUAUUGCGACGCUAGAGGUGAAA
rnacentral:rRNA from 1 species